GCUCGUCAGGAAAUUAGCUGAGGUCGAACUUCCCAGACAGAACUACAAGGUUUCCUUGCAGGUAGCCUUAUUAUGCCCUUCUCCCUUACACCUGGUGCAAGUCAUUACUCUUUUAAGUUCACGCUUUCUUUUAUAUUGUUUUUCCUUUGGUUGAGUUGGUGGCCGAGGUGUAGUCGGAGGAAGCACUUGCCUCACCUCUGAGGCAUCUUCUUCACCCAAAGGCUCAAAAAUGUCUAAAACAGGAUUUAUGGACUUGGAAUAUGUUGAACGGUAGCUAUCAACUGUGUAGUAUUUUGAACAAUAAUCAUAUACACUCCUUCCAAUGCGAUUGAAGACGGCAAUGGCAUGACAGCAAGGUAAUCCAGUCAAUGCCCAUUCCAUACAACUACAGUCCCUUGUGACAAUAUCCACAACAAAAAUAGAGUCACC
rnacentral:misc_RNA from 1 species